ACUUCGGUACAUCGGUGACAGGUGGUGCAUGGUGUCGUCAGCUCGUGUCGUGAGAUGUUGGGUUAAGUCCUGCAACGAGCGCAACCCCUAUUGUUAGUUGCCAUCAUUCAGUUGGGCACUCUAGCGAGACUGCCGGUAAUAAACCGGAGGAAGGUGGGGAUGACGUCAAAUCAUCAUGCCCCUUAUGACCUGGGCUACACACGUGCUACAAUGGUUGGUACAACGAGUUGCGAGUCGGUGACGGCGAGCUAAUCUCUUAAAGCCAAUCUCAGUUCGGAUUGUAGGCUGCAACUCGCCUACAUGAAGUCGGAAUCGCUAGUAAUCGCGGAUCAGCACGCCGCGGUGAAUACGUUCCCGGGCCUU
rnacentral:rRNA from 1 species